rnacentral:rRNA from 1 species
UAUGGUCAAGUGAAGAAGCGCAUACGGUGGAUGCCUUGGCAGUCAGAGGCGAUGAAAGACGUGGUAGCCUGCGAAAAGCUUCGGGGAGUCGGCAAACAGACUUUGAUCCGGAGAUGUCUGAAUGGGGGAACCCAGCCAUCAUAAGAUGGUUAUCUUGUACUGAAUACAUAGGUGCAAGAGGCGAACCAGGGGAACUGAAACAUCUAAGUACCCUGAGGAAAAGAAAUCAACCGAGAUUCCCUUAGUAGUGGCGAGCGAACGGGGACUAGCCCUUAAGUGGCUUUGAGAUUAGCGGAACGCUCUGGAAAGUGCGGCCAUAGUGGGUGAUAGCCCUGUACGCGAAAAUCUCUUAGUCAUGAAAUCGAGUAGGACGGGGCACGAGAAACCUUGUCUGAAUAUGGGGGGACCAUCCUCCAAGGCUAAAUACUACUGACUGACCGAUAGUGAACUAGUACCGUGAGGGAAAGGCGAAAAGAACCCCGGAGAGGGGAGUGAAAUAGAUCCUGAAACCGUAUGCGUACAAGCAGUGGGAGCCCACUUUGUUGGGUGACUGCGUACCUUUUGUAUAAUGGGUCAGCGACUUAUUUUCAGUGGCGAGCUUAACCGAAUAGGGGAGGCGUAGCGAAAGCGAGUCUUAAUAGGGCGUCUAGUCGCUGGGAAUAGACCCGAAACCGGGCGAUCUAUCCAUGGGCAGGUUGAAGGUUGGGUAACACUAACUGGAGGACCGAACCGACUACCGUUGAAAAGUUAGCGGAUGACCUGUGGAUCGGAGUGAAAGGCUAAUCAAGCUCGGAGAUAGCUGGUUCUCCUCGAAAGCUAUUUAGGUAGCGCCUCAUGUAUCACUGUAGGGGGUAGAGCACUGUUUCGGCUAGGGGGUCAUCCCGACUUACCAAACCGAUGCAAACUCCGAAUACCUACAAGUGCCGAGCAUGGGAGACACACGGCGGGUGCUAACGUCCGUCGUGAAAAGGGAAACAACCCAGACCGUCAGCUAAGGUCCCAAAGUCAUGGUUAAGUGGGAAACGAUGUGGGAAGGCUUAGACAGCUAGGAGGUUGGCUUAGAAGCAGCCACCCUUUAAAGAAAGCGUAAUAGCUCACUAGUCGAGUCGGCCUGCGCGGAAGAUGUAACGGGGCUCAAACCAUGCACCGAAGCUACGGGUAUCACUUAGGUGAUGCGGUAGAGGAGCGUUCUGUAAGCCUGUGAAGGUGAGUUGAGAAGCUUGCUGGAGGUAUCAGAAGUGCGAAUGCUGACAUGAGUAACGACAAUGGGUGUGAAAAACACCCACGCCGAAAGACCAAGGUUUCCUGCGCAACGUUAAUCGACGCAGGGUUAGUCGGUCCCUAAGGCGAGGCUGAAAAGCGUAGUCGAUGGAAAACAGGUUAAUAUUCCUGUACUUCUGGUUAUUGCGAUGGAGGGACGGAGAAGGCUAGGCCAGCUUGGCGUUGGUUGUCCAAGUUUAAGGUGGUAGGCUGAGAUCUUAGGUAAAUCCGGGAUCUUAAGGCCGAGAGCUGAUGACGAGUUGCCAUUAGGCGACGAAGUGGUUGAUGCCAUGCUUCCAAGAAAAGCUUCUAAGCUUCAGGUAACCAGGAACCGUACCCCAAACCGACACAGGUGGUUGGGUAGAGAAUACCAAGGCGCUUGAGAGAACUCGGGUGAAGGAACUAGGCAAAAUGGCACCGUAACUUCGGGAGAAGGUGCGCCGGUGAGGGUGAAGGACUUGCUCCGUAAGCCCAUGCCGGUCGAAGAUACCAGGCCGCUGCGACUGUUUAUUAAAAACACAGCACUCUGCAAACACGAAAGUGGACGUAUAGGGUGUGACGCCUGCCCGGUGCCGGAAGGUUAAUUGAUGGGGUUAGCUAACGCGAAGCUCUUGAUCGAAGCCCCGGUAAACGGCGGCCGUAACUAUAACGGUCCUAAGGUAGCGAAAUUCCUUGUCGGGUAAGUUCCGACCUGCACGAAUGGCGUAACGAUGGCGGCGCUGUCUCCACCCGAGACUCAGUGAAAUUGAAAUCGCUGUGAAGAUGCAGUGUAUCCGCGGCUAGACGGAAAGACCCCGUGAACCUUUACUAUAGCUUUGCACUGGACUUUGAAUUUGCUUGUGUAGGAUAGGUGGGAGGCUUUGAAGCGUGGACGCCAGUUCGCGUGGAGCCAACCUUGAAAUACCACCCUGGCAACUUUGAGGUUCUAACUCAGGUCCGUUAUCCGGAUCGAGGACAGUGUAUGGUGGGUAGUUUGACUGGGGCGGUCUCCUCCUAAAGAGUAACGGAGGAGUACGAAGGUGCGCUCAGACCGGUCGGAAAUCGGUCGUAGAGUAUAAAGGCAAAAGCGCGCUUGACUGCGAGACAGACACGUCGAGCAGGUACGAAAGUAGGUCUUAGUGAUCCGGUGGUUCUGUAUGGAAGGGCCAUCGCUCAACGGAUAAAAGGUACUCCGGGGAUAACAGGCUGAUACCGCCCAAGAGUUCAUAUCGACGGCGGUGUUUGGCACCUCGAUGUCGGCUCAUCACAUCCUGGGGCUGAAGCCGGUCCCAAGGGUAUGGCUGUUCGCCAUUUAAAGUGGUACGCGAGCUGGGUUUAGAACGUCGUGAGACAGUUCGGUCCCUAUCUGCCGUGGACGUUUGAGAUUUGAGAGGGGCUGCUCCUAGUACGAGAGGACCGGAGUGGACGAACCUCUGGUGUUCCGGUUGUCACGCCAGUGGCAUUGCCGGGUAGCUAUGUUCGGGAAAGAUAACCGCUGAAAGCAUCUAAGCGGGAAACUUGCCUCAAGAUGAGAUCUCACUGGAACCUUGAGUUCCCUAAAGGGCCGUCGAAGACUACGACGUUGAUAGGUUGGGUGUGUAAGCGCUGUGAGGCGUUGAGCUAACCAAUACUAAUUGCCCGUGAGGCUUGACCAUA